GACGAGGGCGCGAGCGUUGUCCGGAUUUAUUGGGCGUAAAGAGCUCGUAGGCGGCUUGUCGCGUCGACUGUGAAAUCCCGCGGCUCAACUGCGGGUCUGCAGUCGAUACGGGCAGGCUAGAGUUCGGUAGGGGAGACUGGAAAUUCCUGGUGUAGCGGUGAAAUGCGCAGAUAUCAGGAGGAACACCGGUGGCGAAGGCGGUUCUCUGGGCAUGUCCUGACGCUGGAGGAGCGAAAGUGUGGGGGAGCGAACAGG
rnacentral:rRNA from 1 species